rnacentral:tRNA from 1 species
GUAGGCAGCGCGGUCACAGACCCUUCGCUCUGCGGACUUUUAAUCCGCAGGUCGUAGGUUCGAGUCCUACUGGGG